UAGUCCAUGCCGUAAACGUUGGGCGCUAGGUGUGGGGCUCGUUCCACGAGUUCUGUGCCGCAGCUAACGCAUUAAGCGCCCCGCCUGGGGAGUACGGCCGCAAGGCUAAAACUCAAAGGAAUUGACGGGGGCCCGCACAAGCGGCGGAGCAUGCGGAUUAAUUCGAUGCAACGCGAAGAACCUUACCAAGGCUUGACAUGGGGUGAAAACCGGCAGAGAUGUCGGGUCCGCAAGGGCGCCUC
rnacentral:rRNA from 1 species